rnacentral:rRNA from 1 species
AAAAAUAUUAGCUCCUCUUAAUAAACAAAAUUAAAAAUAAUUAAAAAAAAUAAAAAAUUAAUAAAUAAAAGUAUAAUCAUCAGAAAUUUAAAAUGAAGCCAAAAAAGUACCUUAAAGGAAAAUUGAAAAAUUGAAAAUAAAAUUUAUAAAAAGAAGAAAUAAUGACUCUUACCUUUUGUAUUAUGGUUUAACAACAAAAAAAGAAAAAAAAAUCAAAACCCGAAACCAAGAGAUCUAAUGAAAACCCAACAAAAUGGUUGUAAAAUAUUACUGUUGCAAAAGUAAAUAAAGAGAUUUCAUUAGCCAUGAAAAAUGAAACGAGCUUGGUGAUAGCUGGCUUCCUAUGAAACGAGCCUUAACUCAAGCUUUUAUUUAUAAAUAAAAAAAAUUAUAUUAUAAAAAUAAAAAGCUAAAUCAAAAGGGAUAAACUUUUUGAUUUAAGGAAAAAGCCUAAACUAAUAGUUAAAAUCAAAGAAAAAAAAAAGAAAAAAAAUAUAGUAGGCCUAGAAGCAGCCACCAAAAAGAAAGCGUUAAAGCAAAAUAAAACAAAAAACAAUAAUUAAUGAAAAAAAAAUUUUAACUUAUAAAAAAACUAAUAGGAUAAUAAUUUCUAAUUAUAAAAUAAUGUUAAAAUUAGUAUUUAAAAAGACUAAAAAAAAUUAAACUUACCUAACAAAAAAAAAUUGGAAGAAAGAAAAUAAUUUAAACAAGAAAAAAAUUUUCACAAAAAAGUUUUAUUCAACACUGAAAGUCAAAUUAUAUAAAAAGCAAAAAGAAGGAAUUCAGCAAAUUCAUUAGUUUCGCCUGUUUACCAAAAACAUCGUCCCUUGAAAAAAAAUAAACUUAUAAGGGAUAAUGCCUGCCCAGUGACAAAAGUUAAACGGCCGCGGUAUAUUGACCGUGCAAAGGUAGCAUAAUCAUUUGUUCUUUAAUUGAGGACUUGUAUGAAAGGCAACACGAAAACUAAACUGUCUCCUUUUUGAAAAAAGAAAUUAGUAUAUUUGUGAAGAAACAAAUAUAAAAACGUAAGACGAGAAGACCCUGUCGAGCUUAAGAAAAUUUUUAUAAAAACAAAAAAAUAGAUAAACUUUUAACUAAAUCUUAAAAACUAAAAUAAAAAUAUCUUUGGUUGGGGCAACCACGAAGAAAAAAUAACCUUUGGAAAAACAAAAAAAAAUUAACAAAUUUAAAAAUUUUAAUAAAAACAAAAGAUCCAGAAUAUUCUGAUCAAAGAAAAAAGUUACCGCAGGGAUAACAGCGUUAUUCUCUUUAAGAGUUCAUAUUGACAAGAGAGUUUGCGACCUCGAUGUUGGACCGGGACAUCCUAGAAGUGCAAAAGCCUCUAAAGGUAGGUCUGUUCGACCUUUAAAGUCCUACGCGAUCUGAGUUCAGACCGACGCAAGUCAGGUCAGUUUCUAUCUACGAAAAAAAGAGCCUUACUAGUACGAAAGGAAUUUAAGACUAGAGUUAAUUUUUCUAACAAAACUCUAAAUAAUAAUACUGAAGAAAAAUAAAGAAAACUUUUAAUUUUGUAAGU